CCUCGGAGUUUGUUGGACAACCAACGCAGCUUGAAUCGACAAACCCCAGAUAGGGCGGAUUCAAAACCCGUACAGUGUGAGUUCGAAUCUCACCGAGGGCACCA
rnacentral:tRNA from 1 species